CUGAAAGCAAGAAUCCAACUUUAAGGAUGGAGCAAGAUCAUUCGGUACAUGAAUCGGGAUUAAGGAAAAACUAUGUCGCACUCUCUCCUCCAAAAAGACCUCUCAAAGAAACUUUUGAGGAUUCACUAGGGACCAUAAGGUGCAUACAAAUGGAGAAUCAACCCCAAACAUGCAGACGUCAUCAAAACAAGUUGAAACCAACUCACAUGCAUCACCUGAAUCUCUCGUUGAUGUUCCCAUUGAUCCCGCCUUUCCCAGUGAGGUAGUCACUAUUGACUUGUCUAAUUUGCUAAGCAUAUAUGUCCUUGCAUUAUUGAACUCUGAAGAAUAGAUUUCUUAUGAUGCGAAUUGAUGGACCAUAAGGUACAUACAAAUGGAGAAUCAACCUCAAACAUGCAGACGUCAUCAAAACCAGUUGAAACCAACUCACAUGCAUCACCUGAAUCUCUCGUUGAUGUUCCCAUUGAUCCCGCCUUUCCCAGUGAG
rnacentral:lncRNA from 1 species